rnacentral:rRNA from 1 species
UACGUAGGGUGCGAGCGUUGUCCGGAAUUACUGGGCGUAAAGAGCUCGUAGGUGGUUUGUCGCGUUGUUCGUGAAAACCUGAGGCUUAACCUCGGGCGUGCGGGCGAUACGGGCAGACUGGAGUACUGCAGGGGAGACUGGAAUUCCUGGUGUAGCGGUGGAAUGCGCAGAUAUCAGGAGGAACACCGGUGGCGAAGGCGGGUCUCUGGGCAGUAACUGACGCUGAGGAGCGAAAGCGUGGGGAGCGAACAGG